UACAUUGUGAGCCCACUCAACCAGUUC
rnacentral:piRNA from 1 species